CCUACGGGGGGCAGCAGUAGGGAAUCUUCGGCAAUGGACGAAAGUCUGACCGAGCAACGCCGCGUGAGUGAAGAAGGUUUUCGGAUCGUAAAACUCUGUUGGUAGAGAAGAACGUUGGUGAGAGUGGAAAGCUCAUCAAGUGACGGUAACUACCCAGAAAGGGACGGCUAACUACGUGCCAGCAGCCGCGGUAAUACGUAGGUCCCGAGCGUUGUCCGGAUUUAUUGGGCGUAAAGCGAGCGCAGGUGGUUUAUUAAGUCUGGUGUAAAAGGCAGUGGCUCAACCAUUGUAUGCAUUGGAAACUGGUAGACUUGAGUGCAGGAGAGGAGAGUGGAAUUCCAUGUGUAGCGGUGAAAUGCGUAGAUAUAUGGAGGAACACCGGUGGCGAAAGCGGCUCUCUGGCCUGUAACUGACACUGAGGCUCGAAAGCGUGGGGAGCA
rnacentral:rRNA from 1 species